UCGGUGGGGGAUUAGUGGCGAACGGGUGAGUAACACGUGGGCAAUCUGCCCUUCACUCUGGGACAAGCCCUGGAAACGGGGUCUAAUACCGGAUACGACCACUUCAGGCAUCUGAUGGUGGUGGAAAGCUCCGGCGGUGAAGGAUGAGCCCGCGGCCUAUCAGCUUGUUGGUGAGGUAAUGGCUCACCAAGGCGACGACGGGUAGCCGGCCUGAGAGGGCGACCGGCCACACUGGGACUGAGACACGGCCCAGACUCCUACGGGAGGCAGCAGUGGGGAAUAUUGCACAAUGGGCGAAAGCCUGAUGCAGCGACGCCGCGUGAGGGAUGACGGCCUUCGGGUUGUAAACCUCUUUCAGCAGGGAAGAAGCGAAAGUGACGGUACCUGCAGAAGAAGCGCCGGCUAACUACGUGCCAGCAGCCGCGGUAAUACGUAGGGCGCAAGCGUUGUCCGGAAUUAUUGGGCGUAAAGAGCUCGUAGGCGGCUUGUCACGUCGGAUGUGAAAGCCCGGGGCUUAACCCCGGGUCUGCAUUCGAUACGGGCAGGCUAGAGUGUGGUAGGGGAGAUCGGAAUUCUGGUGUACGGUGAAUGCGCAAA
rnacentral:rRNA from 1 species